rnacentral:rRNA from 1 species
UAAGGAAUAUUGGUCAAUGCACGCAAGUCUGAACCAGCCAUGCCGCGUGAAGGAUGAAGGUCCUCUGGAUUGUAAACUUCUUUUAUCUGGGACGAAAACGGGAUUUUUAUCUCAAUUGACGGUACCAGAGGAAUAAGCACCGGCUAACUCCGUGCCAGCAGCCGCGGUAAUACGGAUGGUGCGAGCGUUAUCCGGAUUUACUGGGUUUAAAGGGUGCGUAGGUGGGCUUAUAAGUCAGUGGUGAAAUCUCCGAGCUUAACUUGGAAACUGCCGUUGNUACGAUAGGUCUUGAAUUAUCUGGAGGUAAGCGGAAUAUGUCAUGUAGCGGUGAAAUGCUUAGAUAUGACAUAGAACACCAAUUGCGAAGGCAGCUGACUACAUAUAAAUUGACGCUGAGGCACGAAAGCGUGGGGAUCAAACA